GACGAACGCUGGCGGCGUGCCUAAUACAUGCAAGUUGAGCGCUGAAGGUUGGUACUUGUACCAACUGGAUGAGCAGCGAACGGGUGAGUAACGCGUGGGGAAUCUGCCUUUGAGCGUGGGACAACUUUUGGAAACGAAUGCUAAUACCGCAUAAAAACUUUAAACACAAGUUUUAAGUUUGAAAGAUGCACUUGCAUCACUCAAAGAUGAUCCCGCGUUGUAUUUGCUAGUUGGUGAGGUAAAGGCUCACCAAGGCGAUGAUACAUAACCGACCUUAGGGGGUGAUCGGCCACAAUGGGACUGAGAAACGGCCCAAACUCCCACGGGAGGCAGCAGUAGGGAAUCUUCGGCAAUGGACGAAAGGCUGAACGAGCAACGCCGCGUGAGUGAAGAAGGUUUUCGGAUCGGAAAACUCUGUUGGUAGAGAAGAACGUUGGUGAGAGUGGAAAGCUCAUCAAGUGACGGUAACUACCCAGAAAGGGACGGCUAACUACGUG
rnacentral:rRNA from 1 species